GAGUUUCUUAUGUCUGACAUCAAGAAAGUAGAGAGCCCACUGACACCAGGAUCAUGAUGAUUUGCCAUUGACCCACUCACAAAUAACGCACCAAAGAAGUGUGAGACAAGAGGUGCUUGAUGCUAUCUGAAGGCACUGAGCAAACUCAUGGAUGCUCAAUGACAAGAGAAGAUAAUGGAACAAUUGGGGACUGAGGACAACCACACCAGAAUGACACGGAAAUCCAGAUUGUGGAAUUUUAAAUGACUGUUGAGCUAGAGUCAGAAGAUAAG
rnacentral:lncRNA from 1 species